AUUACAUAAAACUGCCUCCUUUCCCCAUUCUGUGCAGUAAUCACUCGACAUCGGGUCAUGUUGUGCUCUCAGACGUAGUUAAAGCUAAACAAAUUCAUCUGUCAGAUGUCUGUCUGUCAGAGAGGGCAAUUUGCAUUUAAAUGCAACCCUAUGUGUACAGUAUAGAGACCAGUCCUAUACUAUGUACAGUAUGUGCACCAGCCCAUGAAAAUGUAUAUUUCUGCAGAAUAAACUGUUUCUAGACCAGAUCUAGAGAAUAUAUGAAGAUAAAGUCUGUCAAAGUUGUGAUAAGGAAGCCAGUUCUGUAGGAUGCAGAGACAAGUCCUGUAAAAUGUACAGAGUCCAGCCUCAUGUAUUGUAAAGUAUAGGGACAAACACCAUACCAAGUUUAGUGUCAGGCCCAGUACUUUAGUAUGUACAGUAUCAAGAUCGCUUCUGUAGAAUGUGCAGUAAAGAAUUGAAACGCAUACAGAGACCGGCUCCCAAGAAUAUAUGGUCUAGAGACAGGUCCUUCAUAAUGUACAUUGGAGGUACCAGGCGUGAUGAAAGUGCAUUAUAAGGGUUGUUCCUGGUACCAACCCUUUAGGCUAUGCAAUAUGAGAACUAGUAUGAAUACCAGCCCCAUGGCACGUGUAGUGUAGCGAUCAGGCCCACAGAAUGUACAGUCUUGUGUACAGCCAUGUCGACUAUAUAGUAUGGAGACCAGGCCUGCAGUGUUUACAUUGUAGAGUCCAACCCCAAUGAGCAGGUUGUGCACCUUCCUUGUAGAUGUACAAUGUGGUGACAUGACCUGUAAAGUGUACAGUGUAUGAACGACUGUUGUAGUAAUGUAGCAUAGAGACCAGCUCCACAGAAUGAACAGUAAAAUGUACAUUAAAGUGAUCACCCAUGGUGUGAACUAUAUAGAGACCUAUCUUGCAGGAUGUACAGUAUAGAAACCAGUCCUUAUAGAACAUACAAUCUAGAGACCAGUCCAAUAUGUACUGUAUAGACUAUUCCCUAAUAUACACAGUACAAUUUGCAGUUUGUAAAAUAUAGCAUUUUUAUAGUGUAAUAUUUAACUUGUAUACCAUCUGAUCCUGCAGAUUGGAUAGUAUAGAGAUCACUCGAGUGUAGGAUUAUAUAUGUUGGGCCAAUGCUAUUGUGCAUGUUAGUAGUAGAGACAGCCCUUUUAUACAAGAGAAGACUCGCCCUGUAAAAUGUAAAAUACUGGGAACAAAGCCACAGUAGGUCACAUUAUGUCAUGCUCACAAACUGAGGUGCUGAUUCACAUUAUGUACUUGAUUAUACUAUAUGCUAGAUCACAUUGUACACCUAAUCUCAUCUUGCUCUAAAUCAUAUUGUGUACUGGAUUACAUUGAAUAUUGGGUCUUUAUUCGAUAUAAUAAUACAAUUAUAUAUAUGUAUUAUCACAUGAGUACUGGAGCAUGUUGGUUGUUGGAUCACUUUGGGCACUGAAUUACACUGAGUACUUGUCUAUAUCUGGAACUGGAUAAUAUUGAGUACUUUGUCAUUAUUGGAUCACAUCCUGCGGUGCUUCAAGGUACCGAUCAAAGAUUCAACAUUUGGAAACUGUUGUGAUAUUUAUGAUGUACAGAUAAAUGUGAUAUAUGUUCUGCUAAAAUGUGCAAGGAAAGUUUCAUAAAACUAGGUUCAAUACACCAUAAUCCACCAGAAAUUGGUCAGAGGCUGUAUGUGUUUGUCAUUUUGAGGCGCAUUUUAAAGGCAAGCAAUUACUAUUUUUGCACACACAAGUUUUGCAAAGGAUUGUAAUGCAUAUAGUCUGCAAAAUACUCUACAGUGCGCUAUAAUGAUCGCAAAAAUGCAGCAUUCAAUUAAAGCGCGGCAACAAUCAUCAUGACAGCACUUUGUGUAUGAAGAGGUUCGUAUAAUGCUUUGCCCUGUAUUGCAGAAACAUCUCAAAAGCGCUAACGAUCAACAGAUUAUUUUUCAACUGAUGCGAUUCUGGUUAUGUAGCAAAAUGCGGCCGCAAAUUUGCAAACAGCAAAUGAUAUGAAUGAUCAGUUAACCUGUUUUGGGUGGUGUAGGUUGAGUGCUAAGCAGCUGCUUAAAGCAUUGAACUUGCGCAUAACAGCCCAGUGCAGCUAUUUCCACAGCAAUUUUCCUUGGACAAUGGAGUGUACCAGCCACAUUUUGACAACCAGGCGCAAAAGGCUUUAAUUAAUGAAGUGAGCCACCAUAUACUGCAUGGAGGGCCGCUCCUCCUGAGAAACCUGGUGCAGCAGGUCUGGAAAUAAAUCGUGGAGCUUGUAAAUGCUGCUUCCAGAACUCAACGAACCUGGCAAGAUGUUAGGAAGAAGAUGGGAGAUCUCAAGAAAUCGGCUAAGGACAAGAUGGCCUUCAAUCAGCGAGAACAGUGCUGCAUUGGACUCAGCCAAUUCGUGCCCCUACCCUAUGCAAGAACGACACUUUGGAACUAAUAAGCAGGGAGAGUAUAGAGGGAAUGGGGGACGGCAAAGCUGCAAGCUUCCAACGAGUUCAUGGCUAGUAUGAUAAUAUUUUUGUUGUAUCAUUUUGAUCUGUUAAAUAACUGUCGAUCAGGCACAUGCUGACCUAAGUAAGAGUGCAGAUAAUACCGUGGAGUGACGCAUUAUCUUCUCUUUUCACAGAAAUGGAAAAACAGAGUGUAGCAGUAUCUGCAAGAAAGGCCACAAUCACAGCACUUUAUAGCACAAUCACUAUAUCAACCACCAGGUUCAGCUACACACUUCAAAGAACAUAGAUAGGGAGAUUUAGGAGGAGCCUCAGGGGUAAGUCACAGCCCACGGAUGAGAAGGAGCAAGAGGGCCUGUUGAUCAUCGACUGAAGAAAAAAAACAGCGCGGUUACUGAAGCAGUAUCGGAAUAUCUGCACAUAUUAACCACAACGGAUCCGCUGAAAAGCAGAACACUCCUGUCUGAGCAAAUCAUCGGCUGGGAUCAUUUACGUGCGGGAUACGUUCGUGCAAAAUCCUGAAAGGAUUGUGGAGGAGCACACUACCUAGAUCUGUGCAGUUACAGAUGAAUGGUUGGUUACGCUGGAGUUUUCCAUCGAGUGUGUGGAAACUCCAAUGGGCCUGCAGUGGUAACCCCUCAGUGCAGAUCAAAGGCACAUUUGGGACAUUUCUCAUAAAUGUUCAUACUACCACGAUAGAGAUUUAAGGCUCAGCCCUUAAAGGUGCUCUUUUGACACCCUCAGAUAAUUUGGAGAUUGGAUGCAGGCAGUCGUAAAGAAUUUGCGGAUUUUACAGAUGCCUGAAUUCUAUUCUCACAUGAGUGGAUGUUGAGAGAAUACAUAUUGCCAGGUUAAAGAGAUGAUCGGGUCUUACAUUAAUCCAAGCUGUCAAGAUUUCCAACGUAACAAUAGGUAUGUAAGAAUAAGCAAUACGACCGGUCGCAAACAUGAGUGAAACUACUGGAGUCCGUGCCACAUAGAGGUUUCAUGCCACUACUAUUCCAACAGCCUGACUAUGGAACUCACCACCAGCCUAUACAAUCAUUCCCUUCGAGAGGGAAUCAAUGAGGAGAAGAUGAGGUAGGCCUGUUCUACCCCAACAAACUCCAGACACAAAGUACAAUCUUCACUAUAUACAUAAUGGCUGGAAUAAAAACACUGGAUUUAAUUUGUA